rnacentral:rRNA from 1 species
AUUUGGGAGCUUGCUCCUAAAGGUUAGCGGCGGACGGGUGAGUAACACGUGGGCAACCUGCCUAUAAGACUGGGAUAACUUCGGGAAACCGGAGCUAAUACCGGAUAAUUCUUUUCUACACAUGUAGGAAAGCUAAAAGACGGUUUACGCUGUCACUUAUAGAUGGGCCCGCGGCGCAUUAGCUAGUUGGUGAGGUAACGGCUCACCAAGGCCACGAUGCGUAGCCGACCUGAGAGGGUGAUCGGCCACACUGGGACUGAGACACGGCCCAGACUCCUACGGGAGGCAGCAGUAGGGAAUCUUCCGCAAUGGACGAAAGUCUGACGGAGCAACGCCGCGUGAGUGAUGAAGGUUUUCGGA